rnacentral:piRNA from 1 species
GUGAUGUGGACAGGAGUCGAAGG